rnacentral:rRNA from 1 species
CGGAGGGAUCAUUAAAGAGUUCUAUAACUCCCAAACCCAUGUGAACAUACCUAACGUUGCCUCGGCAGGUCGCACCUACCUUGUAGCACCCUACCCUGUAGGGCCUACCCGGGAGAUGCGGGUAAGCCUGCCGGCGGCCCACCAAACUCUGUUUGAUAUUGAAUUCUGAACAUAUAACUAAAUAAGUUAAAACUUUCAACAACGGAUCUCUUGGUUCUGGCAUCGAUGAAGAACGCAGCGAAAUGCGAUAAGUAAUGUGAAUUGCAGAAUUCAGUGAAUCAUCGAAUCUUUGAACGCAUAUUGCGCCCAUUAGUAUUCUAGUGGGCAGGACCGUUCGAGCGUCAUUUCGACCCUUAAGCCUUAGUUGCUUAGUGUUGGGAGCCUACGGCAACGUAGCUCCUCAAAGUUAGUGGCGGAGUUGGUUCACACUCUAGACGUAGUAAUUUUUUAUCUCGCCUAUUAGUUGGACUGAUCCCCUGCCGUAAAACCCCCAACUUAUCAAGGUUGACCUCGAAUCGGUUCAGACAAACUCGCUAAAUUGAAGCAUCUUAGUCAGCGAAGGAAAAGAAACCAACAGGGAUUGCCCUAGUAACGGCGAGUGAAGCGGCAACAGCU